AGAGUUUGAUCCUGGCUCAGAACGAACGCUGGCGGCAGGCUUAACACAUGCAAGUCGAACGCACCUUUCGGGGUGAGUGGCAGACGGGUGAGUAACGCGUGGGAACGUGCCCUUCAGUUCGGAAUAACCCAGGGAAACUUGGGCUAAUACCGGAUACGUGCGAGAGCAGAAAGAUUUAUCGCUGAAGGAUCGGCCCGCGUCUGAUUAGCUAGUUGGUAGGGUAAUGGCCUACCAAGGCGACGAUCAGUAGCUGGUCUGAGAGGAUGAUCAGCCACAUUGGGACUGAGACACGGCCCAAACUCCUACGGGAGGCAGCAGUGGGGAAUAUUGGACAAUGGGCGCAAGCCUGAUCCAGCCAUGCCGCGUGAGUGAUGAAGGCCUUAGGGUUGUAAAGCUCUUUCAGUGGGGACGAUAAUGACGGUACCCGCAGAAGAAGCCCCGGCUAACUUCGUGCCAGCAGCCGCGGUAAUACGAAGGGGGCUAGCGUUGUUCGGAAUCACUGGGCGUAAAGGGCGCGUAGGCGGCUUUGUAAGUCGGGGGUGAAACCUGUGGCUCAACCACAGAAUUGCCUUCGAUACUGCAUGGCUUGAGACCGGAAGAGGUUAGUGGAACUGCGAGUGUAGAGGUGAAAUUCGUAGAUAUUCGCAAGAACACCAGUGGCGAAGGCGGCUGACUGGUCCGGUUCUGNNGCUGAGGCGCGAAAGCGUGGGGAGCAAACAGGAUUAGAUACCCUAGUAGUCC
rnacentral:rRNA from 1 species